UACGUAGGGGGCAAGCGUUGUCCGGAAUCAUUGGGCGUAAAGGGCGUGUAGGCGGCCCGGCAAGUCCGCUGUGAAAGUCCAGGGCUCAACCCUGGGAUGCCGGUGGAUACUGUCGGGCUCGAGUCCGGAAGAGGAGUGUGGAAUUCCCGGUGUAGCGGUGAAAUGCGCAGAUAUCAGGAGGAACACCAAGUGCGAAGGCAGCUCGCUGGGACGUGACUGACGCUGAGACGCGAAAGCGUGGGGAGCAAACAGG
rnacentral:rRNA from 1 species